rnacentral:rRNA from 1 species
GACGAACGCUGGCGGCGUGCUUAACGCAUGCAAGUCGAACGGUAAGGCCCUUCGGGGUACACGAGUGGCGAACGGGUGAAUAACACGUGGGUGAUCUGCCCUGCACUUCGGGAUAAGCCUGGGAAACUGGGUCUAAUACCGGAUAGGACUCCUGGCUUCCUGGUUGGGGGUGGAAAGCUUUUGCGGUGUGGGAUGGGCCCGCGGCCUAUCAGCUUGUUGGUGGGGUAAUGGCCUACCAAGGCGACGACGGGUAGCCGGCCUGAGAGGGUGACCGGUCACACUGGGACUGAGAUACGGCCCAGACUCCUACGGGAGGCAGCAGUGGGGAAUAUUGCACAAUGGGCGCAAGCCUGAUGCAGCGACGCCGCGUGAGGGAUGACGGCCUUCGGGUUGUAAACCUCUUUCAGCUAUGACGAAGCGCAAGUGACGGUGGUAGCAGAAGAAGGACCGGCCAACUACGUGCCAGCCGCCGCCGUAAAAC